rnacentral:lncRNA from 1 species
GACAACCAGUGCGGAGAAAACAUUUUCGGUACCCUAUACAUGCUCUGCGUGUAGGAAGGAACGCGAAAGGCAACUAGACAAGUACAAGUAGCCUACCAUCAAUUAUUUCAUAAAAUUUUUUCGUUCUACUGAAUGCUUCAUCCUAUUAAUACAGGUCACUAACCCCAGCAUUGACACGCAUUGUUUUUUCCAACAUGUUUCUACAAAUAAAGACAAAGAAAGCUAUGGGAACAUAAUCGGAUACCGACAUAAUCAAGGCCAUCCAUCGUAAUAAUCAUCGUAAUAAUAAUCAGGUUUAUUGCAGCAACUCAGAGAAUUCACAUGAAAAGAUGCAAGGCACAUACCUAUAUUUUUCUGAAUGUUUUACUCAAGCAGUAGAAGCAAUUAACUUUAGUUUAUUGCAUUAAUGUUGGAAUGUUUAUUGAAAUAUUUCCUUUAGUUCAACAUUACUAACUGUUUGAUGCCAAAGUAAGUUGGAACUCUAACUGAAACACUGAUUUUUUUCCAGUUUUCUCAAAAAAUUGUAAGUUGUAUUAUUUUGUCUUGACCCUCCAUACUUGCUGGAAAGCUGCUUGAGUAAUCUAUCUAGUGUCCAUCCCCACUUGAUUCAUUUCGUGCCAGCUGGUUUAAAGGCGUGACGAAUUCAAAUAGCUGCUACGUGCUGUCUGCAAGCAAGCAAUUCAAUUGGCUGUCGCUAGGUGGCGCGAGUGUCUUGAGGGGACUAAAUUCGGCCAUUUUGCACCUUGACGCAGCUGAAGUUGGAUGCCGGUCGUGACGUUUCGCAUGAUGAAAAUAUAAAGAUUAUUUCAAUGCCACUUUGUCAAAUCAUCUAACUCGGACUUGAGUGCCUGUUCAUUUUGCCGAAAUGUCGUGCCUCGUGUGUCCUGCUGCCAGUACCCAGUCGUACGUCUCGUCCCAUGCAAAAGCAAAAGUCUGCUGUUGGUUUACUUGUUGCAGCGAGAUGGUGAAAGGUGUGAUGACGUCUAAUUUAACCAUUGUAUGCAGCGUGUUGUUGCAGUGUUAUCCAGAAGUAGCUGCUCAGUGUGGCAGUAUCCUGAAGCAGCCUGAAGCCUGAAGUUGCCAGUGAUAUCCGGGUUGCUGACUUGGAAAUUUUUCUCUGUUUUCAUUUUUGUGUCUUUUGCUCUGCCAGUGGUAUUCUGAGUUGCAGACUUUACAUCUUUCUAUCUGUUCUCA